UACGUAGGGUGCAAGCAUUAAUCGGAAUUAUUGGGCGUAAAGGGCGCGUAGGCGGACUUGUAAGUCAGAUGUGAAAUUCCGGGGCUCAACCUCGGAGCUGCAUUUGAAACUGUGAGUCUAGAGGGUUGACGGAGAAAACGGAAUUCCAUGUGUAGCGGUGAAAUGCGUAGAUAUAUGGAAGAACACCAGUGGCGAAAGCGGUUUUCUAGUUAAUACCUGACGCUGAGGCGCGAGAGCAAGGGGAGCAAACAGG
rnacentral:rRNA from 1 species